CUUACAUGGAGGCAUGUAGGAGUUGAGGCCCCGGAUGACCUUCAUAAAGGUUGAAAUGGAAAAACUGAAAAUGAAUUUGCCUUGAGGAGUGCCAUCACUGGAUCAGAGCAAAUUGCAGGUGAGAAAGGCAGGCUGAGGGAUGCUGCUGUGUCUGAGCAGCCUGAAGACUCCACGCUGGGUUUGAGAGCUGGUAACGAAUGAAAAGACGGAAAACGUGAGAACCGGCUGUCUGAGGCCGCAGUGUGUGAGAUGCUCCUCAGAUCGAUACUCUUAUUGACCUCGCUGGGUUUGAGGAGCUGGUUGAUUUAAGACUCGACACAGGGGCGAGUAGCUCUUCGUGAUCCUGCUGAUGAAGGACUGGUGAUCUAGUAAUGGUGCCUUAAAUUCAAAUGUUGUCGCGGGCCAGACGAAUGACGCCCUCGAGCUGAUGGAACAAACCCUAAAUGAAAAAACUACAAUGUUUACUGAACAAAAUGUUUUUUUGGUUUUUGAACUUUUUGCAUCAAACUGUCAACCUGUA